UGCGUAGGCGGAUUGUUAAGUCAGUGGUGAAAGUCUACGGCUCAACCGUAGAAGUGCCAUUGAUACUGGCAGUCUUGAGUACAGUAGAGGUAGGCGAAAUUUAUGGUGUAGCGGUGAAAUGCAUAGAUACCAUAAAGAACACCUAUAGCAAAGGCAGCUUACUAUGCUGUAACUGACGCUGAGGCACGAAAGCGUGGGGAGCGAACAGGAUUAGAUACCCUGGUAGUCC
rnacentral:rRNA from 1 species